UGGGGAAUAUUGCACAAUGGGCGCAAGCCUGAUGCAGCCAUGCCGCGUGUGUGAAGAAGGCCUUCGGGUUGUAAAGCACUUUCAGCGAGGAGGAAGGUGGUGAGCUUAAUACGCUCAUCAAUUGACGUUACUCGCAGAAGAAGCACCGGCUAACUCCGUGCCAGCAGCCGCGGUAAUACGGAGGGUGCAAGCGUUAAUCGGAAUUACUGGGCGUAAAGCGCACGCAGGCGGUUUGUUAAGUCAGAUGUGAAAUCCCCGGGCUCAACCUGGGAACUGCAUUUGAAACUGGCAAGCUAGAGUCUCGUAGAGGGGGGUAGAAUUCCAGGUGUAGCGGUGAAAUGCGUAGAGAUCUGGAGGAAUACCGGUGGCGAAGGCGGCCCCCCUGGACGAAGACUGACGCUCAGGUGCGAAAGCGUGGGGCAGCAAACAGGAUUAGAUACCCUGGUAGUCCACGCUGUAAAACGAUGUCGAUUUUGGAGGUUGUGCCCUUGAGGCGUGGCUUCCGGAGCUAACGCGUUAAAUCGACCGCCUGGGG
rnacentral:rRNA from 1 species